rnacentral:lncRNA from 1 species
CCUGUCCCCGUUGUCCCCAUUGCCCCAUGUCCCUUUUCCCCCCAUUUGUCCUUUAUAUCCCCAUUGUCCCCAUUGUCUCCUGAAUUCUCAAUGUCCCCAUUGCCCCAUUGUCCCCAGUGUCCCAACUGUCCCCACUGUCACUACUGGCCCUAUAUCCCCAUUGUCCACAUUGUCCCUGGUGUCCCCUGUGCUCUAUAUCCCCAUUGUCCCCAUUGUCCCCAUUGCCCCAUUGUCCCCAUUGUCCCCAUUGCCCCAUUGUUCCCCAUAUCCCCUUUAUCCCCACUUUCCCCACUGUCCCCACAUCUGUUCCCAUGUCCCCGUGUCCCCAUGUUUGUCCCCAUGUCCCAAUGUUUGUCCCCAUGUCCCCAGCUGUCUCCAUUGUCCCCAUGUCCCCAUUGUCCCCAUUGUCCCCUGUGUCCUCACUGUCACCACUGUCCCCUAAAUUCCCCAUUGUCCCCAUUGCCCCAUUGUCCCCAGUGUCCCAACUGUCACCACUGUCCCCUAUUAUCCCCAUUGUCCCCUAUAUCCCCUUUAUCCCCACUGCCUCCACUGUCCCCACAUCUGUCCCCAUGUCCCCGUGUCCUCAUAGCUGUCCCCAUGUCCUCACGUUUGUCUGCAUGUCCCCAGCUGUCCCCUGGGUCCCCUCUGUCCCCAUUCUCCCUAUUGCCCCUAUAUCCCCAUUGUCCCCAUUGCCCCCAUUGUCCCCAUUGCCCCCUAUCCCCAGUGUCCCCAAUGUCCCUGUUGACCCCUGUGUCCCCAUUGUCCCAUUGUCCCCAACGUCCCCAGUGUCUCAACUGUCCCCACUGUCACUAUUGGCCCUAUAUCCCCAAUGACCCCAUUGUCCUCAUUGCCCCCAUAUCCCCAUUGUCCCCUGAAUUCCAGAUGUCCCCAUUGUCCCCAUUGUCCCCUAUAUCCCCAGUGUCCCCUGUCCCCAUUGCCCCAUUAUCCCUGUUGUCCCCUGUGUCCCCAUUGUCCCCACUGUCCCCAUUGCUCCUCUCUUCCCAUUGUCCCCACAUUCCUAAUGUCCCCACUGUCCCCACUGUCCCCAUUAUCUCUGCUGUCCCCAUUGUCCCCAUUGUCCCUCUAUCCCCAUUGUCCCCUAAAUUCCUGAUGUCCCCAUUGUCCCCACUGCCUCCAUUUUCCCCAUUGUCCC